AAUGAACGUUGGCGGCGUGGAUUAGGCAUGCAAGUCGAGCGAGAACCCCGCAAGGGGGGACAGCGGCAAACGGGGUAGUAACGGGUAGGUGACGUACCCUCGGGUCGGGGAUAGCCACGGGAAACUGUGGGUAAUACCCGAUAAUCUCCCGGAGCGUGAUGCUUCGGGAGCAAAGGUGUGAUUCCACCGGAGGAGCGGCCUGCCUCGUAUUAGCUAGUUGGUGAGGUAACGGCUCACCAAGGCGACGAUGCGUAGGGGGCGUGAGAGCAUGACCCCCACCACUGGGACUGAGAUACUGCCCAGACACCUACGGGUGGCUGCAGUCGAGAAUCUUCGGCAAUGGGCGCAAGCCUGACCGAGCGACGCCGCGUGUGGGAUGAAGGCCCUUGGGUUGUAAACCACUGUCAGAGGGGAUGAAAUGCCAGCCAGCAAUCUGGUUGGUUUGACAUAGCCUCAGAGGAAGCACGGGCUAAGUUCGUGCCAGCCGCCGCUGUAACAC
rnacentral:rRNA from 1 species